UGGCUCUCGCAUCGAUGAAGAACGCAGCGAAAUGCGAUAAGUAAUGUGAAUUGCAGAAUUCAGUGAAUCAUCGAAUCUUUGAACGCACCUUGCACCCUUUGGUAUUCCGAAGGGUACGCCCGUUUGAGCGUCAUUGUAAUCUCAUUUUCCCGGCUUUUGUCGGUGGAAGUGGACUUGGACCUUGCUGUCUAACAACAGCUGGUUUGAAAUCUAUGAGUGCACCCUGCCCUUGCAGUGUCUUCAGUGUGAUAAGUGUCUUCACUGAACAAAGCUUCCCUAGGAACUACACUUAUACGGUGGGCUCUGCGCUUCCAAUCAUCUUCGGAUAACACUUGACAAUUUGACCUCAAAUCGGGUGGGAUUACCCGCUGA
rnacentral:misc_RNA from 1 species